AUCCUUUUGUAGUUCAUGAGCGUGAUGAUUGGGUAUUCAUGUGCAUGUGUGAACCCUCUGAACCUUGUUACAACCUUGGCACAUUACUCGUCUGACC
rnacentral:snoRNA from 1 species